AUUGAACGCUGGCGGCAGGCCUAACACAUGCAAGUCGAACGAGUGGCGGACGGGUGAGUAAUGUCUGGGCAACUGCCCGAUGGAGGGGGAUAACUACUGGAAACGGUAGCUAAUACCGCUUACCAUCGCAUGUGCCCACAUGGGAUUAGCUAGUAGGUGGGGUAAAGGGUCACCUAGGCGACGAUCCCUAGCUGGUCUGAGAGGAUGACCGGCCACACUGGAACUGAGACACGGUCCAGACGCCUACGGGAGGCAGCAGUGGGGAAUAUUGCACAAUGGGCGAAAGCCUGAUGCAGCCAUGCCGCGUGUAUGAAGAAGGCCUUCGGGUUGUAAAGGACUUGCAGCGGGGAGGCGUUACCCGCAGAGGAAGCACCGGCUAACUCCGUGCCAGCAGCCGCGGUAAUUC
rnacentral:rRNA from 1 species